rnacentral:rRNA from 1 species
GAUGAACGCUAGCUACAGGCUUAACACAUGCAAGUCGAGGGGAAACGGCAUUAAGUGCUUGCACUUUUUGGACGUCGACCGGCGCACGGGUGAGUAACGCGUAUCCAACCUGCCCCUUACCAGGGAAUAACCCGUUGAAAGACGGACUAAUGCCCUAUGCAGUCCUUUGACGGCAUCAGAUUAGGACUAAAGAUUCAUCGGUAUGGGAUGGGGAUGCGUCUGAUUAGCUUGUUGGCGGGGUAACGGCCCACCAAGGCAUCGAUCAGUAGGGGUUCUGAGAGGAAGGUCCCCCACAUAGGAACUGAGACACGGUCCUAACUCCUACGGGAGGCAGCAGUGAGGAAUAUUGGUCAAUGGGCGGUAGCCUGAACCAGCCAAGUAGCGUGCAGGAUGACGGCCCUAUGGGUUGUAAACUGCUUUUAUGCGGGGAUAAAGUCACCCACGUGUGGGUGUUUGCAGGUACCGCAUGAAUAAGGACCGGCUAAUUCCGUG